UCCCUGAUAGCUCAGCGGUAGAGUAGGUGACUGUUAAUCACUUGGUCGUAGGUUCGAAUCCUACUCAGGGAG
rnacentral:tRNA from 1 species